AAGCAAACAAUCAAACAAACAACGAAUAAACAUGACAAGUAUGGCAAAGUAAAAACCAGAUAGAGUAGAGUUUAAGAACGCAAAUCUGGUGUUGGAGAUAGAUGAUCUUGUUGUCUCUCCAUAGCUUUGAUCUCGAACUGGUUCGGAAUUCUGAGCGAGAGUUCCUUGGUUUCAAAUCAGACUCCUUCUGCUUUCUUCUCUGCAUGUUUCUUCUGCACUGCAGGCAGGCACGAGGUAGAGUGAUGCGUAAAAUAACUAAACACACAAAUUAACCCUUUUGUUGACAAUUGUAGUAUGGAUAAGUAGGGAUCGUUCUUAAACCGGGGAUUAGGAGGGAUUGCUAAACACUCUAAACUGACUCAAAUAUGCAAAACAAAAUUUAAAACACUAAACUAGACUCAAAGAAUGCAAAUCUAAACUCUAAAACACUAAAACGAACCAGAAGACUCAAAACAGCACAAAGACACUCAAAACUGCCUUAAAAACACUUUCUGGGCAGUUUUGAACUCUAACACAAACUUGGACGAAAUUGGGUUAUAACUUGAAUCAAAACACUUAAAAACACAAAAUAAAUUGAUUUCUAACUAAUCUAACACUUUAAAAUAAUGGGGGAUUUGGUUUUGACGAAUUUGAAAACAAACAAAACAGAUUGUAACUAAAACAGAGUUUUAAAACGAAUUUGGAUGAAACUAUGGAUAAAAGGAUAGUUAGGAGGUUCUUCUCCACACAUGACACACUUGCAUACAAAACGAUUUCCAGUUGCUUUUCAAUAAGCUAUGAAUUCUCAACGCCCAGAUUAACCGUGAAUUGCACUAAUUAACCCUCAGAUUUUCCAAAAGUUAUUGAAUUGGAUGAUUGCAUACGACAACCCAAAGCAUUCCCCACAAGUUCCUUACAUGAAUUGCAUAAUAGAGAUACAAGUAAGAAUCAUUAAGUUCUAUGAAAAUCAUAAGCAUUGACGAGGCACUCGUUACUAUGAAUUGCAUGAAACUUAUGCCAAGAAUUUAAUUAAAGCGAUUGUGACUAGCAACCUUCACUACUUGUGAAUAUAAGUUCAUAACGAUUAGGUGAAACUCCCUUAUAUUCUAGCGUCAAAUUCAUGCAUGAAAAUAAAGCGUGCACUCUCAACCUACAUACACAAAUCAGUUUUUAUACAAACGAAUAAGUAAAUUGAAUUCACAACUUACAAAACACAACUGGAUGUAAUCAAAUCAUAUUGCAAGCAUGAACAUGGUUUCGAAUCACCCCCCAACUAAGAAGGGCUUAGUUCCUCAUAAACGCAAAACAAAGAUACAUAAAUUUAGACAUUGAAAACACCUAGAAAUGCUCCAACAAUCCAACGUAUGAAAAAAAAAGAAAAAUUCGUGAAAAGAAAGAAAGAAAAAAGAAAAGUGUGAAAAGUAUGAAAAAAAGAGAUGAAAAGAUGUGAAAAAGAGUUCUAAAGUAUUGUUUGUUGAAGGAAGGGUCCAAAAAGUUGAAUUUGACCCUAAGAGUUGUUUAAAUCUUCCCUUUAUGUCUAAAAGUGAUUUCUGCAUUCUAAAGUGAAUUGUAAGUCUAGAUUUCAUUACUUUGCUUGCUAUUGCUUUAAGAAUGUUUGUUAUCCCUAUCCUUCCUUUGUUAACCAAUACCCCAAGCCCCCGUUACAACCCUUGACUUCAAUCUUGAGUGUUAUGUGUUUCAAUUUGUGGAGUUUGAAUCUGGUAUGAGCAUAUGGUGUCACUGGUCUCGUAUCUAAGUAGUAGCAUUCCAUUCAUGAGAUCAUAUCUAAACAUGCUUAUUAACUCCAGAAAUUGCUUUCUUUGUGAUACAUAUAUGUGAGCGUUCGUUUUCAUAUCUUGAUAGGAGCAUAUUUAUGCGCCUUAGUUAGUUAGUUCUUAUGCAUUUAUGUUGUGUUUUCUUAGUUAAGUUAGUCUUUUAAGCUUUUUUUCAUGUGUUUUCAGGUUUUAAGGACAAAGUGAGCAAAAGGAUGCAAUUUGGAGCAUUUUGGAGCAAAAUUGGGCUAGAAUGAAGUUCAUGCACAUGAAGCACAAAGGAUGGACGAAUUUGAAGGAUUGUUGAAGCUAGGAAUGUGUUUCAAAGUUGAAGAAUUGAAGAUACAAAGUUUCCUAGUUGAAGUAGGAAAGGGCUUAAAGUGAAGGAUUCCUAAAUGAAGAAGGAUUCCUAAUCAAUGUAGGAGUCCUAAUUGAUGAUGGAUUCCUAGAAGAAUGAUGUUUCCUACUCAAGCAAGUAUUCCUACAUGAAGAAGAAGAGUUAAAGUCAAAGAAUCAGCUCAAGAGAAGGAUCUUAUCCAAAACAUUAUCCAUAACCUUAUCUUAGCUUAUCUUAUCCAAACAAACCUUAUCCUAUCCUAUCUUAUCCUAAUCCUAAAUUAUCCACAUUUCAGCCACUUAGGAGGGUUUCUAACUAGAUUAGGAUGCUUAAAAUCAGAUUUCUAGAAGACCUAAUCUUAUCCUACAAAGAUGGCGCCUAGGAAACCUUUCUAGAAGCCUAAAAAUCUGCCUUGUAUUUCUUUCUAGAACCCUAGCUUUGUGCCGCACCCUAUACCUAUUUCCCUUGGAAUUUGGUUUCUAGAAGCCUUAUCUUUUCACACUCUUUGUGCCGCACAUUAUCUCCCAUUCCUUUUGGGUUUUUGACUUGUUUUCCUUAUAGGAUUGUAUGUUAUUAUCCUAUGCAGAUUAGGCCUUUAAAACCUUGUCCUUGGCUACCUUGGAGUGGGGAUUUUCAACCUAUAAAUACAAGCCCUUGCCGCACAUAUCACUCACCACCCUCUACCAUAUUUUCACUACAUCAUUCACCCAAAACCCCUCAUUGUGCCGUGAGUUUGCAAGGAGAAGAAGGAAGGAAUCUGGAGCCGUGCAUGCCAUUCAAGGAGCUUGGAUUGUUGGAGCGAUUCUAGGUGUUUUCUAUCUUUAUGUUAAUGUUUAAAUUUAUUUAUCUUUGUUUAUUUGCGAACAUGAGGAACUAAUUUCUUUAUAGUUAGAGGGGAAUUCAAAGCCAUGAUCAUAUGUUUUAUAUGACUUGAUUACCUCCAGUUAUGAUUUCAUGAAUCGUGAAUGUGGUUUACUUAUCUAUUUGAUUGAUAACAUGUUUAUGUAUGUUAAUUAAGGAUGCAUACUUAAUUCGCUUGCAUGAAUUUGAUGCUAGAGUAUAAGGGAAUUUCACCUAAUCGUUAUUAACUUAUAUUCAUAAGUAGUAAAAGUCGCUAGUCACGAUUGUGUUAAGUAAAUCCUUGGCAAGAGUAACAUGCGUAUUCCAUAGUUAUGAAUGCCUCGUCAAUGUUUAUGAUUUCCAUUGAACUUAAUGAUCUUUGAUAUGUGUCUCUAUCAUGCGUAUUCCAUAGUUAGGGUCCUUGAUAAGAAUAAUUUGGUUGUAAUGCGUAUUCCAUUCAAUUCAAUGAAUCUAGGGAAAUCUGAGAAUUAAUUGGUGCAAUCUAGUUAAUUUGGGGCAUUGUCAUUCAUGGUUUGUUGAAAGAGUAAUUGGAGAUCGAGUCGUAUGCAUAUGUUUCAUGUGUGGAGAAGGAACCCUCUAACUAGCCUUUCACCAUUCUAUUUCAUCAAAAUCGUUUUUGUUAAAGUUUGUUUUCAAAGUUUAUGUUUUAAAUUUCAAUUUUCGUCAAAACCAAACCCCUUACUUUUAAAUCUUGUUUUUAGAGUCAAAACGUGUGUUCUUUAAGUCUUUUGAGUCUUUGAAGUUCUAUUUUCGUCCAAAUCACUUGCUAGGUCUAGAAUUGAGUCUUUUUUUAUUGUUUCUUGCUGUUUUUAGUGUUUUAAGUUAGUUUUGAGUCUAUAGAGUCUAGUUUAGUGUUUUUGAGUCUUAUUUGUGUCAAUUAGCAUCCCUAGUUAAUCCCCGGUCUAGAACGAUCCCUACUUGCAUCAUUACUACAAUUGUCAUCAAUAGGGUUUAAUUUGUGUGUCAACAUAAUAUUCACACCAUAUCUACAUCAAUCUUCUCACAUAUAACUAGUAUAGGGUGUGUAGUUAGAAAAUCUGAGUGAAAAUUGAUUAAAUGUGAGCGAAUUCUCUAAGGCAUGUUACUACAUUCAAAAUGUUGUUUUAAUUGAUUAAAUGUGAACUAGUAAGUGGUGACUAUGAUUAAGUAUGUGCUCAAGUGUAAAGAUGACUCAAAUCUGUGGGGAUGAUGAUCUUUGGCAUGUCAUGUUCAUUGGAAAUCCCUAAGACAAUUGUUGGAAGGUCUAGAUUGUGGUUUGUUUUGUUUUGUUUUGCUCGAGGACUAGCAAAAGCUAAGUGUGGGGGAAUUUGAUAGGAGCAUAUUUAUGCAACUUAAUUAGCUUGUUUCCUUGCAUUUACAUUGCUAGUACUUAGUAAUUUUAGUAUUUUAAGCUAUUUUCGUGCAAUUUCAGGUUUUAAGGACAAAGUAUGCAAACAUGCAUUUUGGAGCAGUUUUGGGCUUGGAAUGGAUAGCUUAUGCUUGGAGCAAGGUGGAUGGACAAAAUUGAAGAUCAAAGGAGGCUAGGAAUGAAUAAUGAAAUGAAGAAAGGAAAAUGAAGAACAAAGAGUUCAGAAUUGGAAACCAAAGUUUCUAUUCUUGGAGGUUUCCAUUCUUGAAAGUUUCUAUUCUUGGUUUGGAAGUUUCCUAAUCCUUCCUCACCUAUGUUCCAGCCACAAAAGGAUUCCAAAAAUAUGUUAGGACAUUUAAUUACAUAAUCUAGAAGCCCUAAACCUUCCCUAAAGUCCAUGCCACACCAAAUUUGCAAGGAUCCUUCCUUGCCGCAAUUCCCUUUCCCUUUCUCUUCCAAAAUCUGCCACAUAUCCUCUUUCCCUUUCUCCCUUGCUUUGCCGCACCCCACAUUCCUUUUCCCCUCUUGAUUUCUGAUUUUCCUUAGCCUUUUUCUUAUGGAUUUGGGCUGAAAUUAUGUUUCCUUAAAUUAAUUAGGGUUAGGACUUUUCCAUCCCUAUAAAUAAACCCCUUUAUGCCGUAACUCUCUCUUCUUCUUAUCAGCCAUUCCACAUUCCAUCCAUCACCAUAACCUACCUACAUCCAUCCACCACCACAAUUCACCACAAAUCAUCACCAAACACCCUUGUGUCGCAGCAAAGAAGAAAGAAGGAGACCCUUAGACGUGCUUGCCAUUCAAGACGUUGGAUUGUUGGAGCGUUUCUAGGUGUAAUCUUUCUUUUGUUUUCAAUGUUUCAAUUCAAUAAUCUUUGUUUUGUGAGUAUGAGGAACUAAACCCUUUUAGUUAGGGGAUGAUUCGAAACCAUGUUCAUGCUUGCAAUAUGAUUUGAUUACAUCCAGUUGUGUUUUAUAAGUUGUGAAUUCAAUUUACUUAUCCGUUCGUAUAAAAACUGAUUUGUGUAUGUUGGUUGAGAGUGCAUGCUUAAUUUUCAUGCAUGAAUUUAAUGCUAUAAUAUAAGGGAGUUUCACCUAAUUGUUACGAACUUAUAUUCACAAGUAGUGAAGGUUGCUAGUCACAAUCGCUUUAAGUAAAUUCUUGGCAUAAGUUUCAUGCAAUUCAUAGUAACGAAUGCUUCGUCAAUGCUUAUGAUUUUCAUAGAACUUAAUGAUUCUUACUUGUAUCUCUAUUAUGCAAUUCAUGCAGGGAACUUGUGGGGAAUGCUUUGGGUUGUCGUAUGCAAUCAUCCAAUUCAAUAACUUUUGGAAAAUCUGAAAAACAACUGGAAAUCGUUUUGUAUGCAAGUGUGUCAUGUGUGGAGAAGAACCUCCUAACUAUCCUUUUAUCCAUAGUUUCAUCCAAAUUCGUUUUAAAACUCUGUUUUAGUUACAAUCUGUUUUCUUUGUUUUCAAAUUCGUCAAAACCAAAUCCCCCAUUAUUUUAAAGUGUUAGACUAGUUAGAAAUCAAUUUAGUUUGUGUUUUUAAGUGUUUUGGUUUGAGUUAUAACCCAAAUUCGUCCAAGUUUGUGUUAGGGUUCAAAACUGCCCAGAAAGUGUUUUUAAGGUAGUUUUGAGUGUUUUGGUUUGUUUUAGUGUUUUAGAGUUUAGUUUUGCAUUCUUUGAUUCUAGUUUAGUGUUUUAAACUUUGUUUUACGUAUUUGAGUCAGUUUAGAGUGUUUAGCAAUCCCUCCUAAUCCCCAGUUUAAGAACGAUCCCUACUUAUCCAUACUACAAUUGUCAACAAGAGGGUUAAUUUGUGUGUUAAGUUAAUUUUCGCAUCACUAGUUCGCAUAUAAUCCAUUAAAACAACAUUUUUGAAUGUUGUAACAUGCCUUAGAGAAUUCCCUCAAUUCCUUACUAGAUAUGCACUCAAUUUUCACUCAAAUUUUCUGACUACACACCCUACAUUGGUAUAUGUGAGAAGAUUGACGUAAACAUGAAAACUAGUACUCACAUAUGUUAUAGCAAAGAAAGCACUUUUCUGGAAUUAUUAAUGCAUGUAUAUAUAUGAUCUCAUGAACGAAAUGCUACUACUUAGAAGCGAGAACCAGUGAUAUCAUAUGCUCAUACCAAUUCCAAACUCCACAUAUUGAAAUACACAACACUUAUGAUUGAAGUCUAAGGGUUGUAACGGGGCUAAGGGUAUUGGCUAACAAAGGAAGGUAGGGAUAAACAAAGGUUCUUAAAGAAAUAGUAAGCAAAGUAAUGAAAUUGACACUUAGAAUUCACUUUUGAAUGCAAAAAAUAAACUUUUAAACACAAUGGGAAGAUUCAUGCAACACUUAGGGUCAAAUUCAAACUUUUGGACCCUUUCUUCAACAACCAACACAU
rnacentral:lncRNA from 1 species